rnacentral:rRNA from 1 species
UGGCGGCAGGCUUACACAUGCAAGUCGAGCGGUAACGAAUAGCUUGCUAUCUGCUGACGAGCGGCGGCGGGUGAGUAAUGCUUGGGAAUAUGCCUUUAGGGGGGGACACCAGUUGGAAACGACUGCUAAUACCGCAUAAUGUCUACGGACCAAAGGAGGGGACGCUUCGGCACCUUUCGCCUUUAGAUUAGCCCAAGUGAGAUUAGCUAGAUGGUGAGGUAAAGGCUCACCAUGGCGACGAUCUCUAGCUGGUUUGAGAGGAUGAUCAGCCACACUGGGACUGAGACACGGCCCAGACUCCUACGGGAGGCAGCAGUGGGGAAUAUUGCACAAUGGGCGAAAGCCUGAUGCAGCCAUGCCGCGUGUGUGAAGAAGGCCUUCGGGUUGUAAAGCACUUUCAGUUGUGAGGAAAGGUUAGUAGUUAAUAACUGCUAGCUGUGACGUUAGCAACAGAAGAAGCACCGGCUAACUUCGUGCCAGCAGCCGCGGUAAUACGAGGGGUGCAAGCGUUAAUCGGAAAUACUGGGCGUAAAGCGUGCGUAGGUGGUUUGUUAAGCAAGAUGUGAAAGCCCAGGGCUCAACCUUGGAACUGCAUUUUGAACUGGCAAACUAGAGUAUUGUAGAGGGUAGUGGAAUUUCCAGUGUAGCGGUGAAAUGCGUAGAGAUUGGAAGGAACAUCAGUGGCGAAGGCGGCUACCUGGACAAAUACUGACACGAGGCACGAAAGCGUGGGGAGCAAACAGGAUUAGAUACCGUGGUAGUCCACGCCGUAAACGAUGUCAGCUAGCCGUCUGUAGACUUGAUCUGUGGGUGGCGUAGCUAACGCUAAUUGACCGCCUGGGGAGUACGGCCGCAAGGUAAAACUCAAAUGAAUUGAGACGG